rnacentral:rRNA from 1 species
GUAGGUGGCAAGCGUUGUCCGGAAUUAUUGGGCGUAAAGCGCGCGCAGGCGGUUCUUUAAGUCUGAUGUGAAAGCCCACGGCUCAACCGUGGAGGGUCAUUGGAAACUGGAGAACUUGAGUACAGAAGAGGAAAGCGGAAUUCCACGUGUAGCGGUGAAAUGCGUAGAGAUGUGGAGGAACACCAGUGGCGAAGGCGGCUUUUCUGGUCUGUAACUGACGCUGAGGCGCGAAAGCGUGGGGAGCAAACAGGGAUUAGAUACCCUGGUAGUCCACGCCGUAAACGAUGAGUGCUAAGUGUUAGGGGGUUUCCACCCCCUUAGUGCUGCAGCUAACGCAUUAAGCACUCCGCCUGGGGAUACGGCCGCAAGGCUG